GUGCAGCAGGCGCGAAAACUUCACACUGUGCGAAAGCACGAUGAGGGAAUCCCAAGUGCUUGCACGUAAGUGUAAGCUGUUUCUCUGUUUAAAACGCAGAGAGAGUAAGGGCUGGGUAAGACGGGUGCCAGCCGCCGCGGUAAUACCUGCAGCUCAAGUGGUGACCGUUAUUAUUGGGCCUAAAACGUCCGUAGCCGGUUUAAUAAAUGCCUGGGUAAAAUCGUGUAGCUUAACUAUACGAAUUCCGGGUAGACUGUUAAACUCGAGACCGGGAGAAGUUAGAGGUACUCCUGGGGUAGAGGUGAAAUUCUGUAAUCCUAGGGGGACCACCAGUGGCGAAGGCGUCUAACUAGAACGGGUCUGACGGUGAGGGGACGAAGCCCUGGGGCGCAAACGGGGAUUAGAUACCCCUGUAGU
rnacentral:rRNA from 1 species